rnacentral:rRNA from 1 species
UACGUAGGGGGCAAGCGUUGUCCGGAAUCAUUGGGCGUAAAGCGCGUGUAGGCGGUCCGGUAAGUCCGCUGUGAAAGUCGGGGGCUCAACCCUCGGAUGCCGGUGGAUACUGUCGGGCUAGAGUGCGGAAGAGGCGAGUGGAAUUCCUGGUGUAGCGGUGAAAUGCGCAGAUAUCAGGAGGAACACCGAUGGCGAAGGCAGGUCACUGGGCCGCAACUGACGCUGAGGAGCGAAAGCAUGGGGAGCGAACAGG